rnacentral:misc_RNA from 1 species
GCCGCCUGUGAGAUCCAGUUGCCACGCAAAUUGGUAUCCCUUUUGCAUGGAGAUGCCUGACCAAAUGGCUAGCUCCUGGCAAAAGCUCACUUGUUGGAAACAUGUGUUGCAGCAGCAUCUCCUCUCUUUCUACAAGAAAGUCCUCAGCUGAAAGAGAGUCACUUAUCCCAGUCUCCUGAACAAAAACCUGAGCUGCUUCUAUUGCUUUCCUCCCCAUCAUUUUUGCCUUGAG